rnacentral:tRNA from 1 species
ACCUGGCUGGCUCAGUCAGUAGAGCAUGAGACUCUUGAUCUCAGGGUGGUGAGUUCAAGCCCCAAGUUGGGCA